GCUGGCGGCGUGCUUACACAUGCAAGUCGAACGAGAAAUCUUUAGCUUGCUAGAGAAAGUAAAGUGGCGCACGGGUGAGUAACGCGUGGGUAAUCCGCCUCCGAAUCGGGGAUAACAUUGCGAAAGCGAUGCUAAUACCGGAUAAAAUCUGGUUGGCUUCGGUGAACCGGAUCAAAGGUGGUCUCUUUAUAAAAGCUACCGUUUGGAGAUGAGCUCGCGUACCAUUAGCUAGUUGGUGAGGUAAAGGCUCACCAAGGCGACGAUGGUUAGCUGGUCUGAGAGGAUGAUCAGCCACACCGGAACUGGAACACGGUCCGGACUCCUACGGGAGGCAGCAGUGAGGAAUUUUGCGCAAUGGGGGAAACCCUGACGCAGCAACGCCGCGUGAGUGAUGAAGGCUUUCGGGUCGUAAAGCUCUGUCAGGUGGGAAGAACCCACCAAGUGUUAAGACCACUUGGUGCUGACGGUACCACCGAAGGAAGCACCGGCUAACUCCGUGCCAGCAGCCGCGGUAAUACGGGGGGUGCGAGCGUUAUUCGGAAUCAUUGGGCGUAAAGGGCGCGCAGGCGGUUUUGUAAGUCAGAUGUGAAAUCCCGGGGCUUAACCCCGGAAGUGCAUAUGAAACUAUGAGACUUGAGUAUGGGAGAGGGAAGCGGAAUUCCUGGUGUAGCGGUGAAAUGCGUAGAUAUCAGGAGGAACACCGGUGGCGAAGGCGGCUUCCUGGACCAAUACUGACGCUGAGGCGCGAAGGCGUGGGGAGCGAACAGGAUUAGAUACCCUGGUAGUCCACGCAGUAAACGUUGAUCACUAGGUGUAGCGGGUAUUGACCCCUGCUGUGCCGGAGUUAACGCAUUAAGUGAUCCGCCUGGGGA
rnacentral:rRNA from 1 species